rnacentral:lncRNA from 1 species
UUUACAAGCACUAUGAUGAUAGCAUUUGAUAUGAUAAGCAACAUGGUUACUAAGUGAGUUCCAGGAAGGCUGCAUUUGGAAGGUCCCAGGACCCUUCAGCUGCAUGGAAAUCUGGAACAAGAUGUCUGUGAUGGGCUGGUUUGU